GUUAGGGGGUUAGGGUUAGGGUUAGGGGUUAGGGUUAGGGUUAGGGUUAGGGUUUUAGGGUUGGGGUUAGGGGGUUAGGGUUAGGGUUAAGGUUAGGGUUAGGGUUAAGGUUAGGGUUAGGGUUUUAGGGUUAGGGGUUAGGGUUGGGGUUAGGGUUAGCGGUUAGGGUUAGGGUUAGGGGGUUAGGGUUAGGGUUAGGGGGUUAGGGUUAGGGUUAGGGGGUUAGGGUUAGGGUUAAGGUUAGGGUUAGGGUUAGGGUUUUAGGGUUAGGGUUAGGGGGUUAGGGUUAGGGUUAAGGUUAGGGUUAGGGUUAGGGUUUUAGGGUUAGGGUUAGGGGCCAGGGUAGGCGCUAACCUGUAUGCACUGUCCAUCUAAUGUCGCUCACUCCACUGGGUUUCACCCCCAUGUCAGCCGGUCCAUUCCCACCAUUCUUUUUCUCUUUUGUUUUUUUCUCCAGUUCCCUCGGACUCAGUGUGAGAGGACUCUUGGGGAGAUUGGAACCAGGUAAGUAGGCUUAUUUAUUAUUUUUUUUAUGUUUUUUUGUGUUCUCAGAUAAGUAGGAUCUUAAUUAGUAUCAUGUACUUUUUUAUUUUCAGGAAAAUGGGGCUCGAUUUGUGUUAGGUGCUUUUUAAGUAAUUGUGGAAUUAUGUAUUAUA
ensembl:lncRNA